rnacentral:rRNA from 1 species
AUGCAUGGCACAGAUACCUAUCAUACACGACUGAAUUUUGUCUUGUCAAACAUUUCAUCGGUGCGUUUUUUUUGUCUCUCCAGGCUCAAUCCGGGCAGCCGGCGUCUGCUGCGCGCCGCCCUGCCCGACGCCCCCAUGCCGGACGCCAUCCUCGAGCUCCUGCCCCAGUUUGAUCACCACGCAUCAACGGAACAGGAGAAAGACACUCCGGAAGGCGCGGUCGAGGACGUGGAGGACAAGGACCCGCCGCCGCCCAUGAACUUCAACUACGACUACGAUGACGCCUUGCCCCGGAGCGAAACCACCAGCGCCCCCUCCCCCGACGUCCUACUGAACCGCGCCGCCGUCGUCCGCAACGUCGCCACGCCGUCGUCGGCGGUGUUCUUCCUCGAGGACGCGGUGCGCGUCCGGGAGAGCCUGCCCUUCCACAGGAUCCAUCGGGCCACCGGCGCUGCCGAGGCGUCGGCAGAACAGCCGCUGGAGCUGUACACUGUGCACUCCGUGAGGGCGGUCGAGGGGUCCAAUUUCAUCCUGUGCCGGGGUGAAGCCGGCGAAGGGGCCGUGUACGGGUGCCGCGCAACCGGCCCGGCGAGGGCCUACGUCCUGGCCCUGGCCGGCGAGCGCGGGGACGUGACGAUGACCGCGGUUGCCGUGUGCCGCACCGACGCAUCCCGAUGGGACCCGGAGCACGCCGCCUUCCGGCUCCUGGGCGUGAAGCCCGGCGGCGCGGCGGUCUGCCACGCGGUGCGGGACGCGCAGCUCCUGCCGGCCAUGAACGGGAAGAGCCCCGUCGCCAACUAA